CCUACGGGAGGCAGCAGUGGGGAAUUUUGCGCAAUGGGCGAAAGCCUGACGCAGCAACGCCGCGUGCGGGAUGAAGGCCUUCGGGUUGUAAACCGCUUUCAGUAGGGAAGAUUAUGACGGUACCUACAGAAGAAGCUCCGGCUAACUACGUGCCAGCAGCCGCGGUAAAUU
rnacentral:rRNA from 1 species